UGGACCUGUUAUUCUUGGAGCAUCACAAUCCAAUGGCACUACGGUGGAUGAUUACUCUCCUGUUGUGGCUUCUAUAUGUGAAAAUGAGCCUACAACUAUGGAGAAUAAUCAUGCUAAUGGUUCUUCACAACUAGUGGUGGCUAAUGGAGUCGUGUAUUCCCCUGGAGAAGUUGUUCCUGAUCUGGAUAGUGCUUCUGGAUCGAGCACGAGUGAUGCUGCUGCCCUUCUUUUCCCCAAUGAUGUUGUUCCUGUUGAGGCUGAUUCUGCAGAUUCCAAAAGCUCAACCAAUCUGGAAAAGUUCAACCAAGCUGGAAAUUGACUUACAGUGUGGCAUCCGGAACUUUCGACGUCCGUCAAUAAUAUUUAGGAUAUUAAGAGGAGAAUAAAUAAUUAACCAGAUUUUUGGAUGAUGUUGUGAAUUGUAAGGUGCGGACGUUUCGAAAUAUAUUUUUAGUGUCCUUGUUUUUCCAAAUGCGACUCCAUUAGGUUAUAUUACAUAUAUUUUUACUAACUUUUUAUGCUUAAA